UUAUAUAUUUCCUGUGUGUCCUCCUCGUGUCGUGUCCUGCAUUUUUUGAAAAUUAGUGUGUCGUCGUGUCCAUGUCGUGUCACGUGUCCGUGUCCAUGCUUCGUAGGUUAUGUAUACAUGUUUAAUCCAUUAACAAGAAUAAACACAUAUAUUCAUCAACAUCUACAAUGACUAUAUGAUAUCCACAAAAAUAACUCAAAAAAUUCAUGAGUAAUCCACGAAAGUGGAAGUUGAAAAAAUCUCACAAAUGGUCAAAUAGAUAAAAGUCUCAAUCAACACAAUUAGCUAAAUUUGUAUCCAAACCAGUAUGACUUCCAAUAAUAAAAAGUAAAAACCAAAAAAAAAAAAAAAAACUAACACAAAAAAUUAACUCAUUAUUGACUCCAAGAACUUAUACACUAGCACCUUCAAACGGGUUAGACAUGUCAAAUUCAAGUUAUGUAGGUUUGACACUAACCCAAUUUGCUUUUUUUUUUUGGAUGUGCACGCUAUUGUAUUGUGUCACUUUUGAGGUUGAUGUUUCAUGAGUAAUCCACAAAAGUAGAAGUUGAAAUAAUCUCACAAAUAGUCAAAAAGAUAAAAAGUCUCAAUCAACACAAUUAGCUAAAUUAGUAUUCCAAACCAGUAUGACUUUCAAUAAUAAAAAGUAAAAUCAUAAAAAAAAAACUAAUACAAAAAACUAACUCAUAAUUGACUCCAAGAACUGCUACAAUAGCACAUUCAAACGGGUUAGACAUGUCAAAUUCGAGUUAUGUAGGUUUGACACUAACCCAAUUUGCUUUUAUUUUUUGGGUGUGCGUGCUAUCGUAUUGUGUCACUUUUGAGGUUCAUGUUGUUAACUAGUCAACCCUAACUGGCCAACUUUGUAUUCGGUUCAUGUAGUGUAAAAAAUUCCAACCCGAGUUUUUUUCAUGUCCAACAUAAAUUCGGUGCAAAGUGAAAGCAUAUGUCCAAGUAAGUUCAUUUGUUGCAAACCAACAAAUAAGAGGUGCCCUAUUUGCUUGUAUUUAAUGGAAUUUAAGUUCUUUCCAAUAUUGUUAAUUGACGGUUUCUACUCUCAGGCCUCGUUUGAGAACAUACUAUUUUACUAAUUUUUUGGUUUUUUUGUUAAAAUAUGAGGUAAAAAAAAUUAGUAUGUUUGGAAUGACUUUUUAAUUUUUUACGAAAAGAUGUGCAAAAAGUUAAGAGACAAUAGAAUCUUUGGUUUUUAGUAUAGUUUGUUGGCUUUUUAGUUUUUUUAGUGACUUUUUGACUUUUAGGUAAAACAGUGAGUUACCAAACGAGGCGCAAACAAUGAAGGUUUCUUUUAUGCUAAUUGAUUUGCGUUGUCUUCUUCUUAACUUCAGGGAUGGUUGAGAAUGAAGCUCAGUACAAACCAGAUAAAGAAAUUUCCCAAAAUGCUUGCUGUUGAUUGUGAGAUGGUUCUCUGUGAAGAUGGCACUGAAGCUCUGGUGAGGGUUUGUGCUGUUGGGCGCGAUCUACAGGUCAAACUUAAUGAACUUGUAAAUCCAAAUAAAGCAGUUGCAGACUAUAGGAGUGAAAUUACUGGGCUCAGUGCAGAAGAUUUGGAUGGAGUUACUUGUUCAUUGGCUAAUGUACAGGAAUCAAUGAAGAAGCUUUUACAGGAUGGAAAAACAAUAUUAAUUGACCACAGUUUGAACAAUGAUCUAAAAGCCCAACAAAAAGGCUGGAGGAAAGAAGUAUUCUGCCUUUGCCAAUUUUAAGAAUCAAGAAGAGGCAAAUCAAGCAUUUGAAAAUAUCGAUGGAUACCGAGAAAAGUUAGGAUUUUCUUGGCCAAGUUUCAUCGAGGAAAAGAUCAUUCCAAGUUGAGGAGACCACCACAGGCGAGUCCAAGAAGUUGAAGUCAGGUCAGGAAGGUGGAGAGCAAACUAAGGCAGGGUCAAACCUUUGUGAUGGUCACUUGAAGGGGAUUGAAAGACUGAAGCAAGAACUGAGACAGAGGGAUGAGGAGAUCUCUGACUUGAACAAGAUCAUAGUUGCUCUUACAAGGAAACAAGGACUUCUCCCUACAGUGUUGGAUGCUUAAAAGAGUGCCUUUUAAUUGUUGGCGUUUUUGGCGGUUGGCAAGUGAGUUUGGCUGGAGAGUAACCCAGGGAUGGUGAUUAUGACUCUGAUGUUGAAUUUUAAAUGAGAUUCGGAGGGAUAAAAUGUAGUGGUUGUGGUUGGAUGUGCUUGCAUUGGUGGCAUGGCAUCAUUUUGGGUACAACUUUACUGCUUGUGUUUGGAAUUUUUGGUGCUGAUGGAACCGAAGGGUCUUUGCUACUAAGACUCCGUGCCAUGAAACACAUCAUUAACUAUUUCAUAUUUUUUUUAUUUUUUAUUUUUGGUUCGCUUCUCUAUUUGUAAUGAACUCUCUAUUUGUUUGAACUAUGGGGAUUCCGUCUAGUAUAGAAUAACAGUAUGAACUGAUAGUCCUGGUGUUAGGUUGUAUUGUUUAAUCAUUUUGAUGAUUAUGGAAACUUCUAGAAUUGUCUGGCAGCUUGUUCAAGUCAUGGUUAAUUGCCCAUUGUUCUGCUCGUGUUUUAACAAAUGGUUAUGCGAUAAGUCCAGUGGAUAAAUAUUUGGAGACCUUAAUUUGUGUCAUUCA